AAUAUUGUUGUAACUUUGUAAAUAUAUGUUGCAGGAAUGACCCUCGAGUGCUUCUUAGGGGUAAAUAUCUUGAAAAUAAGAAGUCGAAGCCUUAUCUGCAACGGCAUGAUUACAAGUCCAAUUAGAAGUAAACAUGGCAGCUCCGGCAAAUCAUAAGCUUUAGCACGGUGGUGAAGAAGCAUCUGAAGCUGAUAUUUUUGAGGUUUACGAUGUGGUUAUGUAUCUUGGCAUAGUUGGUAUUAUUGUGUAUGUUUUGAUUGUAUGUUGUCGGACAUUGUGGCUAGUGCACAAUUAGAAUAGAUGAAUGAAUAUUUGUAGUAGUUGAUGUUGUACGUGCUGUUGUUUGAUAUUGGUCGGAGACAAUUGAUAUUAUCAAUUAACUGGAUUUGGUAGUU